rnacentral:rRNA from 1 species
UAGGGAAUCUUCGGCAAUGGGGGGAACCCUGACCGAGCAACGCCGCGUGAGUGAAGAAGGUUUUCGGAUCGUAAAGCUCUUUUGUUAAGGAAGAACGAGUGUGAGAAUGGAAAGUUCAUACUGUGACGGUACUUAACCAGAAAGGGACGGCUAACUACGUGCCAGCAGCCGCGGUAAUACGUAGGUCCCGAGCGUUGUCCGGAUUUAUUGGGCGUAAAGCGAGCGCAGGCGGUUAGAAAAGUCUGAAGUGAAAGGCAGUGGCUCAACCAUUGUAGGCUUUGGAAACUGUUUAACUUGGGUGCAGAAGGGGGGAGUGGAAUUCCAUGUGUAGCGGUGAAAUGCGUAGAUAUAUGGAGGAACACCGGUGGCGAAAGCGGCUCUCUGGUCUGUAACUGGCGCUGAGGCUCGAAAGCGUGGGGAGCGAACAGG